CUGCACGUACCUACUAAUGUUCACGGUGCCAUGUCUGUGGACAGUCUGAGGACGUCACACCCUCUCACAGCUGACGUCAUGACCCCCUGGGGAGAUCAGCGGUAUAUUUGAUACCAUCACAUACUCUAAGGGAUCUGCUAUAAUCCGGAUGAUGCACCUCGUCAUGGGACAAGACGCCUUCAUCCGUGGUCUUAAUCGUUAUCUGGAAGCACAAAAGUUUGGGAACGCAGAACAUCAGGACUUAUGGGAUGCUCUUACUGAGG